rnacentral:misc_RNA from 1 species
GAUGAAGAACGCAGCGAAAUGCGAUACUUGGUGUGAAUUGCAGAAUCCCGUGAACCAUCGAGUCUUUGAACGCAAGUUGCGCCCGAAGCCAUUAGGCCGAGGGCACGCCUGCCUGGGCGUCACACGUCGUUGCCCCCCCAUCUACUCCUUCGGGAUUGCGGGGGGCGGAUGAUGGCCUCCCGUGCGCCUCGCCGCGCGGUUGGCAUAAAUGCCAAGUCCUCGGCGACGCACGCCACGACAAUCGGUGGUUGCGAAACCUCGGUUGCCCGUCGUGUGCGGUCGUCGCGCAUCGAGGGCUCGAAAAAUUGCCGGGUUCCGGCUCGGCUUUCAACGCGACCCCAGGUCAGGCGGGGUUACCCGCUGAAUUUAAGCAUAUCAAUAAGCGGAGGA